CCCUGGGACACCCUCUUUCCUGCGGGCCAAGUCCUCAGAGCUGGCCCCACCACUUGCCCGCACACUCACAUCCAGGUAGUUCUCCAGGGGCUGUUCAUCUACCAGGGUAGUUCUCCAGGGGCUGUUCAUCUACCAGGGUGGGAGCCUCCCACUGGGGGAAGUACUUUCUGGCUGGGUUGAGGUUGUGCUUCUUCAGGAAACCCAGCAGCAGCAGCCACUUCAUGGUUCUUCCCGGGUCCCAACUCGAGGGAGAAGGCAAGACGGGAG
rnacentral:lncRNA from 1 species